rnacentral:rRNA from 1 species
GAUGAACGCUAGCGGGAGGCUUAACACAUGCAAGUCGAGGGGUAGGGGAGCAAUCCCCGAGACCGGCGGACGGGUGCGUAACGCGUAUGCAACUUGCCUUAUACAGGGGGAUAGCCCGUGGAAACGCGGAUUAAUACCCCAUAUGUCAUUUGGGUCGCAUGGUCUGGAUGAUAAAACUGAGGUGGUAUAAGAUGGGCAUGCGUCUGAUUAGCUGGUUGGUAAGGUAACGGCUUACCAAGGCGACGAUCAGUAGGGGUUCUGAGAGGAUAAUCCCCCACACUGGUACUGAGACACGGACCAGACUCCUACGGGAGGCAGCAGUGAGGAAUAUUGGUCAAUGGGCGCGAGCCUGAACCAGCCAUUCCGCGUGAAGGAAGAAGGCCUUAUGGGUUGUAAACUUCUUUUCUGUAAGAAGAAAAGUCCCGACGUGUCGGGAUGUGACGGUAUUAUAGGAAUAAGCAUCGGCUAACUCCGUGCCAGCAGCCGCGGUAAGUGACGUCAGA